rnacentral:rRNA from 1 species
UUUUAUGGAGAGUUUGAUCCUGGCUCAGAGUGAACGCUGGCGGCGUGCCUAAUACAUGCAAGUCGAACGAUGAAGCUUCUAGCUUGCUAGAAGUGGAUUAGUGGCGCACGGG